UCGAAACUUAAGGACCCAAACCGACAUUUACUCUUCUUUUACGUUUCUCCCACAUCGUGUAAAGAGAGAACUUUACAGCAUAAUAAGAACCCUAGCGAAGCAGUGGAGUUCGUCCCUUCGGGGACAUCCGAUAAAAUUGGAACGAUACAGAGAAGAUUAGCAUGGCCCCUGCGCAAGGAUGACACGCACAAAUCGAGAAAUGGUCCAAAUUUUUUUGCCGGUCGGAGGCGCUGAUGCUCCGGUUGAUCUGUAUUUUUUUUGCCGGUCGGAGUUUCUUUCGUCUAUUUUAUUUCCUGUUUCCCCAAAUUUAGUCGACGAAGAUAGGCAUACUAUUAGUUUAUUAUGCCCUAGUUUUUCUGUCAACAUGAUUGGAUUCAAUUAGUAUAUUGUGAUUGUGUUUUACUUCCUUGGUUUGGACUUAAUUUGCAUCUGAAGUUUUAUCAGAAUCCCCAAAUUCAUGUUUUUGCUAAUUAGGUUUUGCCGUUUGAUUAACUUACAUUUUUUUUUUGUUGUAGUUGGUUACAAUUACAAUAAAUUCAGUUUAGAUGGCGAAUCGAGCUCCGUCAGAACAAAUAACCCAGCCCUCAUUGCUAUGAUUGCUGAUGAGGAUACAAUCACUGGGUUUUUACUAGCAGGAGUUGGUAAUGUUGAUUUGAGGAGGAAAGCUAACUAUCUUAUUGUUGAUUCAAAUUGCAGAUGCUGUUAAAGAAUUCACCACAAGGGAGGACAUUGCGAUAGUGUUAAUCAGCCAGUAUGUUGCAAACGUGAUCAGAUUCUUGGUUGAUAGUUACAGUAAACCAAUCCCAGCCAUUCGGGAGAUUCCUUCAAAGGAUCAUCCAUAUGAUCCUGCUCACGACUCUGUUCUUUCAUGAGUGAAGUAGCUCUUCUCUAGUGAAUCAGUGGCAUCUGAUAGACGAUGAGGAAAAAAUGGUUUACACAUACCUCUAAUCAUUAGUUUCACCAUUUUAUCAUGCAUCUUUCUAUCAUCAUUGUCCUAAGAUUAUUCCUUAAUCAUUCUUGAUGCUUAACUCACAUUGCCUGUUCAGUUCCUUAUUUACUGCUGCUUUUUUCACCGCUCGAGUGAGUGACUUAUCCUUUUAAUAAGUUGAAUGUUGGUCACCCUACAGAGUUUGCACUUAUUUUACGCAACAGAGUUUUUAUAGGACAGAAAUGUACUGUGUGCUUAUUGAUAUUAUGAGUCAAGAUUUGGGUUUGUGUUGCUUCAAUGUAUUAAAGUCUUGGAAGGUAAACUCACAAUGAUCUUGUAUCUGUUUUCUGUUAAGUUUUUGCCUUUUGUUAUUCAAAUAUUAAGAGACAGAAGCCAUAAUUUGAUUUGAUAUUGCAUAUCCAAUAUGAUGGACAUGUCGUGGUUGAUAAAUAUCAAAGCCGUGUGGUCCUCAGACUGCCCCCUACCCGAAAUUUCUUCAUUCUCAUAACUCGAGCCCCAGAUUUUCUGGAUAUUCUAAGUCCUUUGACAAUUUCUCUUUGUUGAUACUAACUCGGUUAAUUCAAAUUCUCACCAUACAUAAUCAAGUAAAAGAGAACAUAUCAGUGGUUUGAUCUCCAUUCACAAUUGGACAAUACACACGCCUCCAAUUUUACAUCCAUGUACUCUGUUUUGAGAUUUUCUUAAUUGUUACAUGUCAUACAAUGUUAACGGUUCUUGCCUCGAUGAUGAACUUUUAGCGUAAACGUUGCUACUUAAAGGUAGUGAGCCACUUCCUCAAUGUAGAUGUCGUGUAGCUGCUCCACAAGAAUAUAUUGAGCCUUAUCCUGUUCCUUUGAUCUUAUGGAAAACACCAUCGGAUUUUUUUGUUGUAUGCACAGCGAAUACUUGCAAAACUUACUAUUAUUUUAUCAAUCGCGUUAAGACUCACAAAGGCUUUGAUGAUUGUAAAGAUUGUUUUGAUCUUAUUGGCAAAGAGAAAAUUCGUUGGACAGUGAAAAAUGGUGCUGGUGUUGACUUCUCUAUGGAUGAAGUGUUAGCAACAACGAGGGUUAUACCUGUGGUGUUAAGGCCUGGUGAGCUGUUUUGGCUUGACCAUUUCUUCUGUGUUGGUUGAGCAAUUGGAGAAAGUGUAUGCACCACUUAUCGAUAGUAUUGGUUUCAAUAAGGUGAAGUGGAUCGUGGGAAGGAAACUCGAUAGAGGCCCCGAGCUAAACGAAAUGUUACCUUUCAGCAAUAUUGGAAAAGCCAUUGAAGAAUUCUUGGUGACUCUACUACAUCUUCCUUUUUCUUUUUCUUUCUUUGUAAAAUACUUAUAUCUUUCUUCUGCAUCUGUUGAAGUGAUCGAUAACUUGCCCUACUGGAAAAACGCAAGUUGCUGAUGGCCUUCUCAUUGAAAAUCUGUCAAAAUUGUACUCUUCAUACUUCCUUUUCAUCGAAUGGUCUUGCUUACUACCAAAUUGUCAAGUAUUUAUAAUUUAGACCAUAUUGACUAUUGUUCAAUACAACAGGCCCUACUGUUAGCUUCUGACUAAUCGAUUGGAAACAAAGCAAGGCUUCUGGUUCAGUACUGGUGCCUAUCAAUUGAUCUCAGAAGAUCUCCAUGUCAAGUGAAAGUGAAACAAAUAUUAAUGAAGUUGUCAACAAAUAUUACCCUCUGAUUCAGCCUUCAUGUUGCUGUUCAACUUCUUCUUUGCACCAACAAAGUAGAAAUCAACAUAUUCUUGGUUAUUGAGUCAUGACAUCAUGUUUUAUAAAUUUUAGCUCAAAGUAGAUUGUAUAGCUAGUGAAAAAUAGGCAACUGAAAGCAUGUAUUGUCACAAAUUGGAAUUCAGAAGCUUUGACAUUCUCAUCUUUGGACUAAUUUUUCUGAAUGUAUAGAAUUUAAUCCUAUGGAAAACCAAAUUUUGGUAUUUGGUAUGAUCA